rnacentral:rRNA from 1 species
GAUGAACGCUGGCGGCGUGCUUAACACAUGCAAGUCGAACGAAACACCUUAUUUGAUUUUCUUCGGAACUGAAGAUUUGGUGAUUGAGUGGCGGACGGGUGAGUAACGCGUGGGUAACCUGCCCUGUACAGGGGGAUAACAGUCAGAAAUGACUGCUAAUACCGCAUAAGACCACAGCACCGCAUGGUGCAGGGGUAAAAACUCCGGUGGUACAGGAUGGACCCGCGUCUGAUUAGCUGGUUGGUGAGGUAACGGCUCACCAAGGCGACGAUCAGUAGCCGGCUUGAGAGAGUGAACGGCCACAUUGAGACUGAGACACAGCCCAAACUCCUACGGGAGGCAGCAGUGGGGAAUAUUGCACAAUGGGGGAAACCAUGAUGCAGCGACGCCGCGUGAGUGAAGAAGUAUUUCGGUAUGUAAAGCUCUAUCAGCAGGGAAGAAAAUGACGGUACCUGACUAAGAAGCCCCGGCUAACUACGUG